GCCCGGUUAGCUCAAUCGGUAGAGCGUGAGACUCUUAAUCUCAAGGUUGCGGGUAAGUUGCGCGUUCGACGCACGAAACGAGCG
rnacentral:tRNA from 1 species